rnacentral:rRNA from 1 species
UACGUAGGGGCUAGCGUUAUCCGGAAUUAUUGGGCGUAAAGAGCGCGCAGGUGGUUGAUUAAGUCUGAUGUGAAAGCCCACGGCUUAACCGUGGAGGGUCAUUGGAAACUGGUCGACUUGAGUGCAGAAGAGGGAAGUGGAAUUCCAUGUGUAGCGGUGAAAUGCGUAGAGAUAUGGAGGAACACCAGUGGCGAAGGCGGCUUCCUGGUCUGUAACUGACACUGAGGCGCGAAAGCGUGGGGAGCAAACAGGAUUAGAUACCCCGGUA